rnacentral:rRNA from 1 species
UACGAGGGGUGCAAGCGUUGCUCGGAAUUAUUGGGCGUAAAGGGUAGGUAGGUGGUCUCAUUUGUCUGGGGUGAAAGCCUUGAGCUUAACUCGAGAAGUGCCUCAGAAACGGUGAGACUAGAGUUCUGGAGAGGGUCGUGGAAUUCCCGGUGUAGCGGUGAAAUGCGUAGAGAUCGGGAGGAACACCAGAGGCGAAGGCGGCGACCUGGACAGAUACUGACGCUGAGGCGCGAAAGCGUGGGGAGCAAACAGG